rnacentral:rRNA from 1 species
CCUACGGGAGGCAGCAGUGGGGGAUAUUGCACAAUGGGGGAAACCCUGAUGCAGCGACGCCGCGUGGGCGAAGAAGUAUUUCGGUAUGUAAAGCCCUAUCAGCAGGGAAGAAGAAAUGACGGUACCAGAGUAAGAAGCACCGGCUAAAUACGUUCCAGCAGCCGGGGUAAUACGUAUGGUGCAAGCGUUAUCCGGAUUUACCGGGUGUAAAGGGAGCGGAGGCGGCACGGCAAGUCUGAUGGGAAAGCCCGCGGCCCACCCGCGGGACUGCUUGGGGAAUUCCCGGGCUGGAGUGCCGGAGAGGUAAGCGGAAUUCCUAGUGUAGCGGUGAAAUGCGUAGAUAUUAGGAGGAACACCAGUGGCGAAGGCGGCCUACUGGACGGUAACUGACGCUGAGGCUCGAAAGCGUGGGGAGCAAACAGGAUUAGAUACCCUUGUAGUC